AAUUUUGCUCAAUGGGCGCAAGCCUGAAGCAGCGACGCCGCGUGAAUGAUGAAGUCUUUCGGGAUGUAAAGUUCUGUCAACAGGGACAAUAAUGAUGGUACCUGUGGAGGAAGCACCGGCAAACUAUGUGCCAGCAGCCGCGGUAAUACAUAGGGUGCAAGCGUUAUCCGGAUUUACUGGGCGUAAAGCGUAUGUAGGCGGCAUUCUAAGUCAAACUUAAAAUCCCGGGGCUCAACCUCGGUUCGGGUUUGGGACUGGAAUGCUAGAGUUUGGGAGAGGAAAGCGGAACUAACAGUGUAGCGGUGAAAUGCGUAGAUAUUGUUAGGAACACCCGUGGCGAAGGCGGCUUUCUGGAUCAAUACUGACGCUGAGAUACGAAAGCGUGGGGAGCAA
rnacentral:rRNA from 1 species